UUAUGUCUUUAUUCAUAUUGUCACGUUUGUGAUAAGACGUUUUUAAGUUAUAUUAAAGGUGACAAAUUCGCUUAAACAUAUUAGUUGUUAACAGACAAGCAAGAUGGAUAAGGUUCUGCUAUGUGUUCUGGUUCUUUCCUGUUUGUUUAUGUGUCAAAUAGCUUUGGCAAAGGACACUAUUAUAAAUGUAAGACCAAUAAACGAUGCCGAGAAUAGCGACAAACAAAGUACAUCACAACGACAAAAAAACAGUUUGGGUUCUCUUUUAUGCCUGGGCGGGAUGUUAUGUUAAAAUGGAUGCCUUUAACUUUCCAACUUAAAAUUUAAUAAAAACGUAAUAAAAGUGUUAUUUACUUGA